CUAGAAGAUAAUAGGAGCUGAAGUGAAACAAGACACAACAAAACCAGAGUCAAGAAUUUCAGCUAAUUAAAUUUGCCGGUUGUGCCGUUGGACCUGUUGGACGCCCACCACACCGUCAUGAGGGGCCGUGGUGUGGCUUUCUUGAGUUUGCUGCCGUCUAGGUCUGCUCCACAAGCUCUGCAAUACAG